AUUGAACGCUGGCGGCAUGCCUUACACAUGCAAGUCGAACGGUAACAGGUCUUCGGAUGCUGACGAGUGGCGAACGGGUGAGUAAUACAUCGGAACGUGCCUAGUAGUGGGGGAUAACUACUCGAAAGAGUGGCUAAUACCGCAUGAGAUCUACGGAUGAAAGCAGGGGAUCGCAAGACCUUGUGCUACUAGAGCGGCCGAUGGCAGAUUAGGUAGUUGGUGGGAUAAAAGCUUACCAAGCCGACGAUCUGUAGCUGUCUGAGAGGACGACCAGCCACACUGGGACUGAGACACGGCCCAGACUCCUACGGGAGGCAGCAGUGGGGAAUUUUGGACAAUGGGCGCAAGCCUGAUCCAGCAAUGCCGCGUGCAGGAAGAAGGCCUUCGGGUUGUAAACUGCUUUUGUACGGAACGAAACGGUCCGGGUUAAUACCCUGGGCUAAUGACGGUACCGUAAGAAUAAGCACCGGCUAACUACGUGCCAGCAGCCGCCGUAACAC
rnacentral:rRNA from 1 species